GGGAGAGAGAGAAGAACAAACAUGCACUUUAUCAAAACAGCUUCAAGGCGAGGAGAUCAUGGCACAGAACUUUUAUUGAUGCAAAACAAGUGAAGUCAUCAGAUCUUUAUCAAAGGAAAAAGGAUCCAUUGUCUAUUGUAAACCUGUUUUUACAGUAAUGACAAAAUCAAAGUUAACAGGCAUUUCACAAAGUAUGUCAAACAUCUCAAUCUGUUGAUCGUGUGCUAUUUGUAAAGCCCAUUUAGACAAACAUUUGUCUUGCAUGGCUUUACAAAGUGCAACUUGAUCUGCCCUUCACCCUCAGCAAGAGUGGGGAACAACUACCAAAAACAAACAGUAACAAAUACAAUUAAAACAGUGGAGCAAAGCUGAAGGAAACAAUAACACCACAGAGAACAGAAACAACGCUGUGGAGGCCACAGAGGAUUAAACCAUUCCUUCUUCUGGCUCCCUGAGUGCGGUCCUACUGGAGAACACGUCGGCCAACAUGUGCUUGGGGAUCUCUGAGCCGCGGACUCGCAGGGCGUAGCAGGCGUCCUCCACCUUUCCCAGGCUCUGUCGCAGCACGUGCAGCUUCUUGGACACCUCAUACGGGCCUGUGUUCCCGAUGUAGGCGAAGCCGUCGUGGAUCUGCCGCAGGAACUGGCUAACCUGGAAGGGCGUGUCCAUGUCGCCGUUGCCCACGCUGCUGAUGCACAAGCGCAUCAGCUCUCCGGUCAGGUCGGCCACUCCGAGCAGGCUGGCGUUGAUCUCCUCCAGGCUGAUGAGGCUGCGAUGACGGAUGUAGUGCAGGAAAGAGACGGCCUCCACAUACUCCUGGAUCCCUAAUGCACGAGAUGACAUUACAACGGAUCAACCACAAGACAUCGGCUGCUGAAUCUAAACAGGAUGGAGCGUGCUCUUAUUUUUCCCAUUUAUUUGUGAUAGCGAUUCACUAGAAACGACCACUAUGCAUCAAGUGGGCUUAGCCUGUUGAGUGUGUAUAAACACUACAUGUAUCUGCACAGUUUAGAUCACAGAUAAAGGACUCGUAUAAAAAACA